GGAAUCUUGCGCAAUGGGCGAAAGCCUGACGCAGCGACGCCGCGUGAGGGGGGAAGGCCUUCGGGUUGUAAACCUCUUUUAAGAGAGAAGAAGCUCCUCGGGUGAAUAGCCCAGAGGGUGACGGUAUCUCUUGAAUAAGCCCCGGCUAACUACGUGCCAGCAGCCGCGGUAAUACGUAGGGGGCAAGCGUUGUCCGGAUUUACUGGGCGUAAAGAGCGUGUAGGCGGCCAUGCAGGUCCGUUGUGAAAACUGGAGGCUCAACCUCCAGACGUCGACGGAAACCGUGUGGCUAGAGUCCGGAAGAGGAGAGUGGAAUUCCUGGUGUAGCGGUGAAAUGCGCAGAUAUCAGGAAGAACACCAAUGGCGAAGGCAGCUCUCUGGGACGGUACUGACGCUGAGACGCGAAAGCGUGGGGAGCGAAC
rnacentral:rRNA from 1 species